ACUAUAGAAGUCAAGUUUCAAUAAACAAUCCUUGCCUUUUAAAUAAAAAAAAGUACAGGCGUCAAUAAAAGAACAGACCCAGAAUGAACGAAAAAUAUUGAUGCCUCGAGAAAUAAAAAAAAUAUCAAAAAUUCUAAACAGUAAGUUUAUCCUCAACCUCAGUUUGAACAUCUCUUUUUAUAAUUGAAUCCACAGAAGAAGGAAUGAAUGGAGGAGAAAUUGUCAAAUUUGAAAUGGAACUGGCAAGAGGGGACAUGCUGGAGCUAGAGUUUAUCUGAGGAUACUUGGCCAUUUCAAACUUCAAGCGUGACUCUGAAGGUAAAAUCCAAGGAGACCAAGUUUCCUUUCUUCUAACCUUAAUGGACAUAGGAGACUGGAGAUCAAUAGCAACAUCAAUAAUAUCUGAAGCCUUGCAAGCUGCAUGUAAAAGAUUCAAAUCUGUAGAAAAGCUCUUAAUUCGAUUGAAGGAAGCCAAAAAUGCUAAAGGAACGUAACCUUCAUCGUCCAUAUGUUUACGAAGAAACAUAUCUUUGCACAAGUUUUCAAUCGAAAAAUAAUACUCUAGUUGUGAAGUGAGAAAUGCUUGGACAUCACAAAGGUAAGGAUUAACGCCAUUACCAUUGACGACGACAGGAUAGUUUGGAAAUGGACCUUGUAUAUUAUUGGCAAUGUUUCGGUAGAAACCAUUAUUAUGUCGUUGUCCUUUACGUGUAUUUCUUCCCUUGUGAUGGAAGGAUUGUUGAGAGUCGGAUUUUUUAUAUGAAUGCUUAUUACCACCUUGCUGAGACGGAGCAUGACCUGAAGAGGAAGAGUGAUGAGGGGCUUGAGAACUGGAAUCUUCCGAAGUCUGAGGCACUUCUUUACCAUUGGCACUUGACACAGUUUGGGAACCAAAAGUGUUAUUUAUAUCAUCACGAUAUUCAGCUGAUGGGUUUGAUGAAUCGAUUGAACGUGAAGCGUCUUUUUCUCGUGAAUAAUUAGUUUGUCGUUUGUUGGACCCAUGAGAAGAAUAAUUUCCUCUACGUCUUCCAUUUCCGUUUCUGCGUGAGCCAUCAUUUCUUGAACGACUACUUUUGCGGUUGCUGAUAGGUGUAUGCGUGAAAUUUGGGGUAAUCGUAACCCAUUUCUCCUUUCCAUUAGCUUUGGGUGCUAAAGGCUUUUGUGAAUCAUCUGACAAUUUCCUAUCUUCAACCUGUUUUUCAGCUAUUUCA